UACGGAGGGGGCUAGCGUUGUUCGGAAUUACUGGGCGUAAAGCGCACGUAGGCGGCUUUGUAAGUUAGAGGUGAAAGCCCGGGGCUCAACUCCGGAAUUGCCUUUAAGACUGCAUCGCUAGAAUUGUGGAGAGGUAAGUGGAAUUCCGAGUGUAGAGGUGAAAUUCGUAGAUAUUCGGAAGAACACCAGUGGCGAAGGCGACUUCUUGGCCUGUUCUUGACGCUGAGGCGCGAAAGCUGGGGGAGCAAACGGGG
rnacentral:rRNA from 1 species